AUACGGAGGGGGCUAGCGUUGUUCGGAAUUACUGGGCGUAAAGCGCAUGUAGGUGGUGUGGCAAGUUAGAGGUGAAAGGCCUGGGCUCAACCUGGGAACUGCCUUUAAUACUGUCACGCUAGAGUUCGGGAGAGGGUAGCGGAAUUCCAAGUGUAGAGGUGAAAUUCGUAGAUAUUUGGAAGAACUCCGGUGGCGAAGGCGGCUACCUGGACCGACACUGACACUGAGAUGCGAAAGCGUGGGGAGCGAACAGGAUUAGAUACCCGGGUAGUCC
rnacentral:rRNA from 1 species